AGCGGAGGAAAAGAAACUAACAAGGAUUCCCCUAGUAACGGCGAGCGAACCGGGAAGAGCCCAACUUGAAAAUCUGGCAGCUUCGCUGUCCGAAUUGUAGUCUAAAGAAGCGUCCUCUGUAGCGGACCGGGCCCAAGUUCCCUGGAAUGGGACGUCAGAGAGGGUGAGAGCCCCGUCGACCCCGGACCCUGCUACUCCACGAGGCGCUGUCGCCGAGUCGGGUUGUUUGGGAAUGCAGCCCUAAAUGGGUGGUAAAUUCCAUCUAAGGCUAAAUACUGGCGAGAGACCGAUAGCGAACAAGUACCGCGAGGGAAAGAUGAAAAGAACUUUGAAAAGAGAGUUAAAAGUGCUUGAAAUUGUUGAGGGGGAAGCGAAUGGAAGCAGAGGUGCGCCUCGGUUUUAUGUGGGGGUUCGCGCCCCCGCCUAUCAACGCGAGGCGCUGGUCAGCGUGGGUUAGCCUGGCGGGAAAAAAGCAGGGGUUGUUACCCUGUCCAUAUCGCCGGGCUGACCGAGGUCUGAAGGGCGCGCUUCGGCGAGCUUCGGCAUCUGCGCCCUCAGGACGCUGGCUUAAUGCUUCCAUCCGGCCCGUCUUGAAACACGGACCAAGGAGUCUAACAUGUAUGCGAGCCGGUGGGUGGCAAACCCAUGAGGCGCAAGUAACCUGAUUGGUGGGAUUCCUUUUGGAUGCACCAUCGACCGACCAUGAUCUUCUGUGAAAGGUUUGAGUAGGAGUAUACCUGUUGGGACCCGAAAGAUGGUGAACUAUGCCUGAGCAGGGCGAAGCCAGAGGAAACUCUGGUGGAGGCUCGUAGCGAUACUGACGUGCAAAUCGUUCGUCAGACUUGGGUAUAGGGGCGAAAGACUAAUCGAACCUUCUAGUA
rnacentral:rRNA from 1 species